rnacentral:rRNA from 1 species
CUAAGAGCGUACGGUGGAUGCCUUGGCGAUAGGAGCCGACGAAGGACGCGGUAGGCUGCGAAAAGCCUCGGGGAGGUGCCAAACAACCUUUGAUCCGAGGAUGUCCGAAUGGGGAAACCCACCAGCGGUCAUGCGCUGGUACCCAGGUCUGAAUACAUAGGGCCUGUGGAGGGAACCGGGUGAAUUGAAACAUCUAAGUAACCCGAGGAAGAGAAAGUAAAUAACGAGUCCCUGAGUAGCGGCGAGCGAAACGGGAUCAGCCCAAACCUUCUACGUGUCAAAGCCUUGCAGCGUUGCGUAGGGGGUGUUGUGGGACCCAUCUGUUCGGGUGCAAGACCGAGCAGGGAGUUACAAAAUCAGCGGUUAGCCGAACUUCUUGGAAAGUUAGGCCACAGAAGGUAAUAGCCCUGUAGGCGAAAGCCGACUGAUCUCCCGAUGGUGUUCCCAAGUAACACGGAGCCCGAGAAAUUCCGUGUGAAUCUGCGGGGCCCACCCCGUAAGGCUAACUACUACCUAUCGACCGAUAGUGAACCAGUACCGUGAGGGAAAGGUGAAAAGUACCCCGGGAGGGGAGUGAAAUAGCACCUGAAACCGUGCGCUUACAAACAGUCGAAGGAGUGACUUGUCACUCUGACGGCGUGCCUUUUGAAGAAUGAGCCGGCGAGUUAGCGAUGUGUGGCGAGGUUAAGGCGUGGAGCCGAAGCCGUAGCGAAAGCGAGUCCUAAUAAGGCGUUCAGUCGCAUGUCCUAGACCCGAAGCCGGGUGAUCUAUCCAUGGGCAGGCUGAAGCGGAGGUAAGACUCCGUGGAGGGCCGAACCCACCAGGGUUGAAAACCUGGGGGAUGACCUGUGGAUAGGGGUGAAAGGCCAAUCAAACCCGGUGAUAGCUGGUUCUCCCCGAAAUGCAUUUUGGUGCAGCGUCGUGCGUUCAGUAUGGGUGGUAGAGCACUGGAUGGGCUAGGGGCCCAACAAGGUUACCGAACUCAGCCAAACUCCGAAUGCCCAUACUCCAGAGCACGGCAGUGAGACUGCGGGGGAUAAGCUCCGUAGUCGAGAGGGAAACAGCCCAGAUCGCCAGCUAAGGUCCCUAAAUCUUCACUAAGUGGAAAAGGAUGUGAAGUUGCUCAGACAGCCAGGAGGUUGGCUUAGAAGCAGCCACCCUUUAAAGAGUGCGUAACAGCUCACUGGUCGAGUGAUUUCGCGCCGAUAAUGUAGCGGGGCUAAGUGAAGUACCGAAGCUGCGGGAUUGCACAUUUAUGUGUGAUCGGUAGGGGAGCGUUGUGCCUGCUGUGAAGCGGAACUGUAAGGAACCGUGGAGCGCGCACAAGUGCGAAUGCCGGCAUGAGUAGCGAAAUCGAAGCGAGAAACUUCGACGCCGUAUGUCCAAGGGUUCCUGGGGAAGGUUAAUCCGCCCAGGGUAAGUCGGGACCUAAGCCGAGGCAGAGAUGCGUAGGCGAUGGACAACUGGUUGAUAUUCCAGUACCACCACAGACGCGCCCAACCCAAGACGUUUUGCUAAGGAAAGCCUUCGGGCCUACCGACCCAGACGUGGCGGGUAGCAAUGGGGUGACGGAGGAGGGUAGUCAGACCCACGCGUUGGUCGACGUGGGGUAAGUGCGUAGGGAGAUCCGAUAGGCAAAUCCGUUGGAUCGUUAAUCCUGAGACACGAUGCCGAGGCGAUUGAGCCGAAGCUGAUGAGCCCAUGCUCCCGAGAAAAGCCUCUAGCCAGUUUCUGUGGUGCCCGUACCCCAAACCGACACAGGUGGACAGGUAGAGCAUACCGAGGCGAUCGAGUGAACUCUGGUUAAGGAACUCGGCAAAUUGGCCGCGUAACUUCGGGAUAAGCGGCGCCAUGGUUGGUGUAGGGACUUGCUCCCGAAGCUGACUAUGGUCGCAGAAACCAGGCCCUAGCGACUGUUUACUAAAAACACAGGUGCGUGCUAAGCCGUAAGGCGCCGUAUACGCACUGACGCCUGCCCGGUGCCGGAAGGUUACGGGGAAGGGUUAGCCGUAAGGCGAAGCUCUGAACCUAAGCCCCGGUAAACGGCGGCGGUAAGGUAAUAGUUGCCGCCCUAGACGAGUGAUCGUCUAGACAACAACUCUGCUAUUUGCUGGAAACUCCGAGUAUCCGGCGGUACUCGUUCAUGUCACACCUUCUCUUUAGGUUGAAGACAUGAGCAGUGAAAAUCCGCCCGGUGCGGACAAUCAGCAGGAAAGACCAAGUAUCGAGCAGUGGAUCGUCGGCUUCGUCGACGGCGAAGGCUGCUUCAGUGUUCCGAUCUUCAAGAACACGACCUACAAGCUCGGGUGGCAGGUUCAACCGGACUUUGUGGUCGUUCAGGGAGCGCGGAGCGUGGAUGUACUCCACGAGAUGAAGCAGUUCUUCGGUUGCGGUGAUGUGUAUGUCAAUCGCCGCUACGACAAUCAUCGUGAGCAUCUCUAUAGGUACAGCGUCCGGAAUCGGGCGUACCUACAUUCGGUGAUCAUUCCGUUCUUUGAGGCGAAUCCACUACGGACCGCAAAAGCAACUGAGUUUCAGAAGUUUGCGACGGUUGUACAGAUGAUGAGGAUGAGGCUUCACCUAACGGUGGAGGGUCUUACUCGGAUCGCAAAGAUCGCGCAGACCAUGAAUCACAGGAAGCCAUCUCGGUUCUUGGAAUCCUCAGAGGCCAUACGCAGAGCUCCACAAUUGAAGCUUGUGGAUGAAGAGAUGGUCCAGACCCCGUAGCGAUACGGGGAUGACGGUGCUGAACUAUAACCGUCCUAAGGUAGGAAUCCCCAGGUGUGCAGCUUGGGGUGCUGCCCCUCCCGGUGGUGACACUGGUGAGUGCAGCUGGCUGUAUGCAGGAAAACCCGGUGUAUCCGUUCGGUACUCGCCUCUUUGAGGCAGUAAC